rnacentral:rRNA from 1 species
UACGGAGGAUGCAAGCGUUAUCCGGAUUUAUUGGGCGUAAAGCGUCCGCAGGCGGUUAUCUAAGUCUGCUGUUAAAGCGCGAGGCUUAACUUCGUACAGGCAGUGGAAACUGGGUGACUGGAGUAUGGUAGGGGUAGCGGGAAUUCCCAGUGUAGCGGUGAAAUGCGUAGAUAUUGGGAAGAACACCAGCGGCGAAAGCGCGCUACUGGGCCAGUACUGACACUCAUGGACGAAAGCGAGGGGAGCGAAAGGG